rnacentral:rRNA from 1 species
CGUGUAGGCGGCGAUUUAAGUCUGGAGUGAAAGUCCUGCUUUUAAGGUGGGAAUUGCUUCGGAUACUGGAUGGCUAGAGUGCAGGAGAGGUUAGUGGAAUUCCCAGUGUAGCGGUGAAAUGCGUAGAGAUUGGGAGGAACACCAGUGGCGAAGGCGACUAACUGGACUGUAACUGACGCUGAGGCGCGAAAGUGUGGGGAGCAAACA